rnacentral:rRNA from 1 species
UACGGAGGGUGCAAGCGUUAUCCGGAUUCACUGGGCUUAAAGGGUGCGUAGGUGGUCAGGUAAGUCAGUGGUGAAAUCUCCGGGCUUAACCCGGAAACUGCCGUUGAUACUAGUUGUCUUGAAUAUUGUGGAGGUAAGCGGAAUAUGUCAUGUAGCGGUGAAAUGCUUAGAUAUGACAUAGAACACCAAUUGCGAAGGCAGCUUACUACACAAUGAUUGACACUGAGGCACGAAAGCGUGGGGAUCAAACAGG